GGGCUGGCUUUAGCUCAUCGCUUCUUUCGGCAGUGCAUUGCUUUUGAUCCUCUGCAUCUGGCAGAGCCGAUUUGAGACCCACAGGCACUCCCCAGCCCUUUA
ensembl:misc_RNA Vault Vault RNA